rnacentral:rRNA from 1 species
GGUUAAGCGACUAAGCGUACACGGUGGAUGCCCUGGCAGUCAGAGGCGAUGAAGGACGUGCUAAUCUGCGAUAAGCGCCGGUAAGGUGAUAUGAACCGUUAUAACCGGCGAUUUCCGAAUGGGGAAACCCAGUGUGAUUCGUCACACUAUCAUUAACUGAAUCCAUAGGUUAAUGAGGCGAACCGGGGGAACUGAAACAUCUAAGUACCCCGAGGAAAAGAAAUCAACCGAGAUUCCCCCAGUAGCGGCGAGCGAACGGGGAGGAGCCCAGAGCCUGAAUCAGCAUGUGUGUUAGUGGAAGCGUCUGGAAAGGCGCGCGAUACAGGGUGACAGCCCCGUACACAAAAGCGCAUGUGCUGUGAGCUCGAUGAGUAGGGCGGGACACGUGGUAUCCUGUCUGAAUAUGGGGGGACCAUCCUCCAAGGCUAAAUACUCCUGACUGACCGAUAGUGAACCAGUACCGUGAGGGAAAGGCGAAAAGAACCCCGGCGAGGGGAGUGAAAAAGAACCUGAAACCGUGUACGUACAAGCAGUGGGAGCACAGGUUUACCUGUGUGACUGCGUACCUUUUGUAUAAUGGGUCAGCGACUUAUAUUCUGUAGCAAGGUUAACCGAAUAGGGGAGCCGGAGGGAAACCGAGUCUUAAUUGGGCGUUAAGUUGCAGGGUAUAGACCCGAAACCCGGUGAUCUAGCCAUGGGCAGGUUGAAGGUUGGGUAACACUAACUGGAGGACCGAACCGACUAAUGUUGAAAAAUUAGCGGAUGACCUGUGGCUGGGGGUGAAAGGCCAAUCAAACCGGGAGAUAGCUGGUUCUCCCCGAAAGCUAUUUAGGUAGCGCCUCGUGAAUUCAUCUCCGGGGGUAGAGCACUGUUUCGGCUAGGGGGCCAUCCCGGCUUACCAACCCGAUGCAAACUGCGAAUACCGGAGAAUGUUAUCACGGGAGACACACGGCGGGUGCUAACGUCCGUCGUGAAGAGGGAAACAACCCAGACCGCCAGCUAAGGUCCCAAAGUCAUGGUUAAGUGGGAAACGAUGUGGGAAGGCCCAGACAGCCAGGAUGUUGGCUUAGAAGCAGCCAUCAUUUAAAGAAAGCGUAAUAGCUCACUGGUCGAGUCGGCCUGCGCGGAAGAUGUAACGGGGCUAAACCAUGCACCGAAGCUGCGGCAGCGAACGUAUCACUUAAAGCGAUUCAGCGGGUUACGAUUGACGGAGCGAAGCGACGUCAAAGCGUAUACAAAGUCGAGUCGGUUUAAGGAUACGUUCGUUGGGUAGGGGAGCGUUCUGUAAGCCCGUGAAGGUGGCCUGUGAGGGUUGCUGGAGGUAUCAGAAGUGCGAAUGCUGACAUAAGUAACGAUAAAGCGGGUGAAAAGCCCGCUCGCCGGAAGACCAAGGGUUCCUGUCCAACGUUAAUCGGGGCAGGGUGAGUCGACCCCUAAGGCGAGGCCGAAAGGCGUAGUCGAUGGGAAACGGGUUAAUAUUCCCGUACUUGGUGUUACUGCGAAGGGGGGACGGAGAAGGCUAUGUUGGCCGGGCGACGGUUGUCCCGGUUUAAGCGUGUAGGUGUGUGUUCCAGGUAAAUCCGGUUCACUUUAACACUGAGGCGUGAUGACGAGGCACUACGGUGCUGAAGCAACAAAUGCCCUGCUUCCAGGAAAAGCCUCUAAGCAUCAGGUAACAUCAAAUCGUACCCCAAACCGACACAGGUGGUCAGGUAGAGAAUACCAAGGCGCUUGAGAGAACUCGGGUGAAGGAACUAGGCAAAAUGGUGCCGUAACUUCGGGAGAAGGCACGCUGACACGUAGGUGAAGUGAUUUACUCACGGAGCUGAAGUCAGUCGAAGAUACCAGCUGGCUGCAACUGUUUAUUAAAAACACAGCACUGUGCAAACACGAAAGUGGACGUAUACGGUGUGACGCCUGCCCGGUGCCGGAAGGUUAAUUGAUGGGGUCAGCGCAAGCGAAGCUCCUGAUCGAAGCCCCGGUAAACGGCGGCCGUAACUAUAACGGUCCUAAGGUAGCGAAAUUCCUUGUCGGGUAAGUUCCGACCUGCACGAAUGGCGUAAUGAUGGCCAGGCUGUCUCCACCCGAGACUCAGUGAAAUUGAACUCGCUGUGAAGAUGCAGUGUACCCGCGGCAAGACGGAAAGACCCCGUGAACCUUUACUAUAGCUUGACACUGAACAUUGAGCCUUGAUGUGUAGGAUAGGUGGGAGGCUUUGAAGUGUGGACGCCAGUCUGCAUGGAGCCGACCUUGAAAUACCACCCUUUAAUGUUUGAUGUUCUAACGUGGACCCGUAAUCCGGGUUGCGGACAGUGUCUGGUGGGUAGUUUGACUGGGGCGGUCUCCUCCUAAAGAGUAACGGAGGAGCACGAAGGUUGGCUAAUCCUGGUCGGACAUCAGGAGGUUAGUGCAAUGGCAUAAGCCAGCUUGACUGCGAGCGUGACGGCGCGAGCAGGUGCGAAAGCAGGUCAUAGUGAUCCGGUGGUUCUGAAUGGAAGGGCCAUCGCUCAACGGAUAAAAGGUACUCCGGGGAUAACAGGCUGAUACCGCCCAAGAGUUCAUAUCGACGGCGGUGUUUGGCACCUCGAUGUCGGCUCAUCACAUCCUGGGGCUGAAGUAGGUCCCAAGGGUAUGGCUGUUCGCCAUUUAAAGUGGUACGCGAGCUGGGUUUAGAACGUCGUGAGACAGUUCGGUCCCUAUCUGCCGUGGGCGCUGGAGAACUGAGGGGGGCUGCUCCUAGUACGAGAGGACCGGAGUGGACGCAUCACUGGUGUUCGGGUUGUCAUGCCAAUGGCACUGCCCGGUAGCUAAAUGCGGAAGAGAUAAGUGCUGAAAGCAUCUAAGCACGAAACUUGCCCCGAGAUGAGUUCUCCCUGAGACUUAGAGUCUCCUGAAGGAACGUUGAAGACGACGACGUUGAUAGGCCGGGUGUGUAAGCGCAGCGAUGCGUUGAGCUAACCGGUACUAAUGAACCGUGAGGCUUAACCUU